rnacentral:rRNA from 1 species
AAAAUGAAAAUGACGGGCAAUAUGUGCAUAUUUUAGAACUAAAUCAUUUAAAUAAAUUUAUUUAAAUUACUUUUAAAUCUAAUUUUUAAAUUAUUUUUCAUAAAUUUUUCCAUAAAUUAAAUUAUGAUAACCCAUUAAAUUCUUAAUUAUACUGCAUCUUGAUUUGAUAUAAAUUUUUAUUAAAAUUUUAAAAUUUUUUUCUGAAAAAAAUUUUUAUAACAACGAUAUACAAAUUUAACUAAAUUAAGUAAAAUUAAUCGUGGAAUAUCAAUUAAUAAAUAGGUUCCUCUAAUUAGAUUAAAAUACUGCCAAAUUCUUUAAGUUUUAAGAAUAUAACUUUUACUA